GGAAGAGUACCCAAAUCAGGUAAAGGGGACUGUUUGCUAAACAGUUAGGCGCUUCGGCGUGCGUGGGUUCAAAUCCCACCUCUUCCG
rnacentral:tRNA from 1 species